UACUCUUUACAAAUAUUGCAGAUUAUCUUGUCGAGUUUAGGAUUCAAGCUAUCUUGAGCACUGAAAAUUAUCAGAGAAAUUCACCAAAAUUGUUUAAUCUGUAAUGUCUAUAUCAUGUUCUUAUGUUAGAAAAGUUAAUAACAUGAAAAUCAGAAACAGAAAACCAACUGUGCAGAGGCUGAAAUAAACUCAAAUGACUUCAAAUUAAGUUUUAGAACCAUUUUAACAAGAGCUUGGACUAUGGGUAGUUGUGUCAAACAGCAAUGUGGCGUAGGCUUGUCUAUUUCAUUGCAUGCCACUUAGCAAUGGCUCUUUGAAAUCAACAACAUUUGUCUGGCUUUUGAGCUAAGACUACGCAAUCGGUGCAUAUUUCGUUUGAAACCGCGUCGUUUUAAACUUGUUGUGACGCAAGAAAUAGAUAGCUAUGUCUAUCCAAAAGUCCAAGGUCUUGUUAAAAUGAUUCUAUAUAUUCAAACAUCCACAAUGCAGUUUUUUUGGUUUAGUUUCAUCUUUUUAUAUAUAUCUCUACUAUAUGUAAUUACAAAAGUUUAUUUUGCUAAGCUUCCGUCAAAUACAGAAAACUAAAUAAGUUGAAGCUUUCAUCUAUAAGUACAACAAAUUUGGUUAAUUAUACUGAAGUCAGUUUUAUUGCAUAAGUAUAUUUACACGAAAGUUUAAGUUUGGAUUACUGGAGCAUUGAAUUUUUCUUAGCUGUUUAAAGGACAGUUAUAACAGCGCGUACAGAUGGUGGUUGUCCUUUAUUAUGAUAAAAUUACAACUAGCAUCUGUGUUCACGAGAAUGGGAUAUAUACAAGAGAUAAAUUGCUCAAUUUUGCUUGACAUUAAAUAAAAAUGUCCAGACUGUUCACAACCUUUACAAUUUAUGUGCUUUGGUUGAGUAAGUACUUCUAAUUGCUUUUAUUUGUUAUUUGUUACUUAAAAGAAUAAUAUCCGUAUAAAAGCAUGUUUUGUUACAAUAAAUACUCUAUAUUUU
rnacentral:misc_RNA from 1 species